GUAAUUGAGAUCAGCUGAUGGAUUUGAGCAGUUGUCGUAAUUGGCUGAUGAUCUUGCAAAUGUUUUGAACUGCUCUUCGGUGAAAUUCAUAGAGCAUAUAAGAUUUAUAUAAUCUUGUGGAGUAGCAUCAUAUACUAGGCCGGGAUCAAGAGCUUUGUUCGGGUCAACAUGCCCUGCUCCCAUGUCUAGGGGCGUGGCUACAAAGUUAUCAUCCUCUCUAAUAGGCUUUUGAGCACUAUUCAAAUGGUUUGCAGUAGUCAUCAUGGCAGAGCGAAUAGCUGAAGGACUCCAUUCAGGAUGUGCGCCUUUUAGCAUUGCUGCAAUUCCAGCCGCAUGAGGAGCAGCCAUUGAUGUGCCUGAUUUAACCUCGUAAUCAGUGGCUAAUGCUAUGUUCUGAAUACUUUGUGAAAAUAGAUUGGGUGGAACCGCUGCAAGAAUCAGUACCCCUGGUGCCAUAAUAUCUGGCUUUGCAAUUCCCAAGUAGCUUCUGGAGGGCCCUCGUGAUGAGGAUCCAGCAAGAAUUGGGGCUGGCCUUUCUCCAUCCACAUACGUUUCUUGGAAUGUUAUGGUGGCCGUGGGAGCAACACUGUUUUUAACGUAAUUGAUGACUUUUUUCCCUUCCUUUUUGUCAAUCACAACUCCCGGGUGGGAAAAAGAAGCAUCUCUGAACACUCCUGGAUCCUCAGAAAUAAAGAUGCCUGCUUUAAAUCUUGCUUCUUCGACGUGAGAAAUUUGACUACUGAAACCAAAACCAUCUUCAUCCGCAUUAUAAUCACAGAUGAUAAUGGUGCUUUCGGGAUCAGGAACUUGCGAUAGCAACUCAUCUGACCUGCAAGUGGCUAGAGUCUUGUUGUAAAUCACCAGAGAAUCCCUGACAAAGGCUCUUGCAGGAAACAAGCUCCACCCCCUAAUUUUUAAUCCAUUGCCCAAAGUCAAAGUUCCUGCAAAUGUCCGGUCGGUGUAGCCUGAUGCCACGCACAAUAUCCAUGGAGAUCCAUUGCCUAAACUCCCCCAACUUGGACCUCGAUUUCCAGCUGAAGCCGAAACCAAUACCCCCUUCAUCAUAGCUCCAAAAGAAGCAAUUGAUAUAGCAUCUUCAUACAAGGGAAUGAACCGGAAUCCAAAUGAAAUGGAUAUCACAUCAACGCCAUCCGCAACAGCUUGGUCCAUAGCAGCAACUAAAUCUGAUGUAAAAGUUCCUUCAUCAAAGCUGAACUUAUACACAGCUAGCCUAGCUCGUGGAGCAGCCCCUCUUGCCGUUCCUGCUGCAUAUCCAAAAUGGGAAACACCUUUCGCAAAGUUCCCAGCAGCAAUGGAAGCGCAAUGUGAGCCAUGACCAUCAGUAUCCCUGGCAGAGUUCAUGGAAAUGUUGACAUUGGGAUCAUUAGCCAAAAUUCCUUUAUUGAAGUAAUUAGCCCCAAUGAGUUUCUUGUUGCACAUAGAAGUGUUAAACUCUGUUCCAGGCUUGCAAAUUCCUUUCCACCUUUUGGGGAUUUCAGGAAUACCAUCAUCUCGGAAACUUGCAGAUUCCGGCCAGAUUCCACCGUCAAGAACACCAAUGAUCACAUCUUGGCCUAAACCAGAAGCUGGCCAUAGCCCAGAUGACGGAUUGAGCUUGAGGAAAUCAGAUGUGUAGGUAGUGUGAGGUUCCACAGUUCUAUCUUUAUAUGCUGAAACAAAACCUGGUAACUUUUUCAAAGCUUUCAGUUCAUCUUUGGACAAAACAGCACUGAAGCCAUGAAACACAUUGUCAUAGGAGUAAACAAGUUUUGGAGCAGAAUGGAACCUGUCUACUGAUGAAGGAACAGAAGCUUUGAUGGAAUCAAUAGUGGAAGAAUGCCAAUGAUGGUGAUCUGGAAAGACAUUAGGCAUUAAAGAUUUGUCCAAAUGGACAAUAUAAGUGGAUCUUUGUGCUAUAGCUAAGUAACAGAACAAAUGAACAGAAAUAAACCAUGAAAGGAAGAGAAGAUGAAGAGAAUAAGGAAACCCCAUUGUAGAUCUCUGUGUUGACUGAACACUGCAGAUUCAAGUGACUUUACAAGAUAAUAGAAGCAGCAUUUGGUUGUUGCAAUAAUAAAGAUAAGUUAAGAAAAGUGAAGAAUGAAAUGUGUUAAAAAGGGUAGUAAAGUAAUAAAGAUAGGCGGCUGUUGUAAGUGAAAUGAACCUAUUAAGUACUGUUUCUAGAAAGGAACCUAUAUGUCAAUUUUCAAACACGACCCCACUUGUUAUCCCAUUGAAAUCAGUGACAUUUUCAAUGCUAUAUUAAUCAUUUCUUGUUUUAUUUAGUAUUAUUUGAAUAAAUUUGUGAGGCAAGAUAUGACAGAAUCUUGUAUACUAAAUCAAAUAUAGUCUCUUUGGAAGAAAAAGAGAAGUCAAUAAUGAAGGCAGUUGCUUUCACUCUUUCUCCAUGUUACUGUAUAAGAUCUAUUUUUGCUUCUGGAUAAUAUAAAGAAUCAAGUGAUUGAGGUUUGCUCUUUUAUUUUUUCUACAUAAUCUUUUUUGUUCUAAAUUUCCUGAUAUUCUGUUCCCCAUUUGGGAAAAUAUGGUGGGGGAUACAUUUAUAAUUGUUACACGGGGUAGAGCUAGAAUACGGUUAAGUAACUAUGUUCUAAAUUUUAUAUUUGUAUUAAGAAAUUUAUUGAAUAUAUACUAAAUAUUAAUUUAGAACUUAAUAAUAUAUAUGAAUAGAAACUCCAACCUAUAAACAUCAAAUUCAUGCUCUGAAUAUUCGACAUGAUUUUCCCUUCAAAUGAGGUGAUCUUUAAUUUACCCUUCGCAUGGGUGAUUUUCAAUUUUUCCUCUUAGAAAUUGAAUUUAUGUCAAGUGGGGCAUAAGUCCUCUAAAGGCACGAAGUAUGACUUAUGAAAUAUUAUGAUACGAAAUUAAAGACUAGCACAAAAUGGGGCAAAAGUGGGACGGAAGGAGUACUGUUAUUUGUUUCUUUAAGAUAGUACAGACAAUUCAUACAACAUAUACAUUUACCAUUUUGCUUUCCCUUAGUUCUUGUGUUUUGGUACUUCCAGUUCAAGCAUAUGAUGGUCAUAAAGUGGCACGACUUAUUACCAGAGAUCAAUUAUGGGAGAUAUCACUAUAGGGCUCCUAACAGUAUGAUUUCCGUGCUCUUCAACCCAAGUGAUCGACCCAUAGUUCCAAUUGGGACCUAUAUAACGAAUUGUCAAAGUAUAACUUUGCUUCUCAUUUUUAUUCUUAUACACCAAAGUUUGUGGUGACACUGAAACUUUUGAGUUCUUGGGAGCUUUUAUCUUAGCUUUAUAAGUAGCUGCACCUUGACCAACAUUUGUGACUGUCCUCCUGAAUUUCUGCUCCAACCAGGUGUAGUUUCCCUCAUUGCUGUACAAUGCAAUGAAUGAAGGGUAAUUGAGAUCAGCUGAUGGAUCUGAGCAGUUGUGAUUGGCUGAUGAUCUUGCAAUUGUCUUGAAUUGCUCUUCUGUGAAAUUCAUAGAGCAUAAGAGAUUUACGUAAUCUUGUGGAGUAGCAUCAUAUACUAGGCCGGGGUCAAGGGCUCUGUUGGGAUUGACAUGCCCUGAUCCCAUGGCUAGGGGUGUGGCUUCCCUGUUAAUGUCAGAGUCUAUGAUUGGUUUUCCAGUGUUAUCCAAAGGAUCUGCCGUGGUCAUCAUAGCAGAGCGAAUAGCUGAAGGACUCCACUCAGGAUGCGCGGCUUUUAGCAUUGCUGCGAUUCCAGCAGCAUGUGGUGCAGCCAUCGAUGUGCCUGAUUCAAGAAUGUAAUCAGAGGAUAAUUCUAUGUUCGUCCCAAUACUUGUAGCAAAUACAUUUGGUGGAUAUGCUGCAAGAAUCAGCACCCCUGGUGCCAAUAUAUCUGGCUUUGCAAUUCCCAAAUAGCUUCUGGAGGGUCCUCGUGCGGAGGAUGCAGCAACAACUGGUGCUGGCUUUGCAUCUAGAUACGUCUCUUGGAAUGUGAUGCUGGCUGUGGGAGCGACGCUAUUUUGUACAUAACUGAUCACUUGUUUCCCUUCAGUUUUGUUAAUCACAACUCCAGGAUUGGGAAAUGAAGCAGACCUGAACACUCCUGGAUCCUCAGAAAUAAAGAUGGCUGCUUUAAGUCUUGCUCGACUGACAGUGCGCAUUUGAUCAGAAAAAUCCCAGCUGUCAUCACAUAUAAUGAUGGUGUGUUCGGGAUCAGGAACUUGUGAUAGCAAUUCCUCGGAAUUGCAAUUAGAUAGAGUUUUGUUGUAAAUCACUGUUGAAUCCAUAACAAUGACUCUUGCAGGAAACAAGCUCCACCCCCUAAUUUUUAAGCCGUUUCCCAGUGUCAAAGUUCCUGCAAAUGUCCGGUCAGUGUGGCCUGAUGCCACACACAAGAUCCAUGGAGAUCCGUUCUUUAAAGUUCCAGUAUCCGGGCCUCGAUUUCCAGCUGAAGCUGAAACAAGAACUCCCUUCAUCAUAGCUCCAAAAGAAGCAAUGGAUAUAGCAUCUUCAUACAUGGGAACAAAACGGGACCCAAAUGAAAUGGACAUCAUGUCAACACCAUCCGCAACAGCUUGGUCCAUAGCUGCAAUUAAAUCUGAAGUAAAGGUACCUUCUUUGAAACUAAACUUGUAAACAGCUAGCCUAGCUCGUGGUGCAACCCCUCUAGCUGUCCCUGGUGCAUAUCCAAAAUGGGAAACACCUUUGGCAAAGUUCCCAGCAGCUAUUGAAGCUACAUGUGUACCAUGACCAUCGGUAUCCCUAGCAGAAUUCAUCGAAAUGUUCACUGUGGGAUCAUUCGCCAAAAUACCCUGAUUGAAGUAAUUAGCCCCAAUGAGUUUCUUGUUGCACAUUGAAGUGUUAAACUGAGUGCCUGGCUUGCAAAUUCCCUUCCACCUUUUCGGGAUUUCAGGCAUACCAUCAUCUUGGAAACUUACGGAUUCAGGCCAGAUGCCAGAGUCAAAAACUCCAAUAAUCACAUCUUGUCCUAAUCCAGAAGCUUGCCAUAGACCAGAUGAUGGAUUGAGUUUGAGGAAAUCAGAUGUGUGGGUAGUAUGAGGUUCCACGGUUCUAUCUUUGUAAGCUGAAAUGAAACCUGGUAAAUUCUUCAAAGCUGCUACUUCAUCUUGGGACAAAACAGCACUGAAGCCAUGAAGCACAUUGUCAUAGGAGUAAACAAGUUUUGGAGCAGAGUGGAAUCUGUCUACUGAUGAAGGAACAGAAGCUUUGAUGGAAUCAAUAGUGGAAGAAUGCCAAUGAUGGUGAUCUGGAAAGACAUUAGGCAUUAAGGUUUUGUCCAUAUGGACAAUGUAAGUGGAUCUUUGUGCUAUAGCCAACAUAUGAGCAGAAAGAAACCAUGAAAUGAAGAGAAGAUGAAUACAAUAAGGUAACACCAUUCUAGAUCUUUGUUGUGUUGACUACACACUACACCUGCUUAAGUCACCACAGAUUCAAGUGACUUUAUAGGAUUAUGCAGUUAGCAUUUGGUUGUUGCAAUAAUCAUAUUGUAUGUCAAGUGGAGAACAAACUGAGUUAAAAAAGGUAGUAAAGUAUAGUAAAAUAUAGGCGGCUAUAGUGGUAGUGAAUGAAGCAAUUAGUAUAUCUGGUUCUUCUCACUAUUUCUAAUAUUGCAAUUUGCAAACAUGACCCCACUUGUAAUCUAAUGAAGUCAAAUAUAAUCUCUUUUAAUUUAACAAAGAGAGAAGUCACUAUGAUGGGUGUUGCUUCCACUCCAUGUUACUUUUAGAUUUACUAGUUGUAACAGGUGAGAUGAUCCUUUUGUCUUCUGGAUAAAAAUAUAAUGUGGAUCACAAGAGCCAAACUUCCCCAACUUGCUGAUGAGUCAGCUACUGACACUAAAAACAUUUCUCUACUUUGGAAAAUAAAUCCAACGAGAUUAUAAAAGAGAACUUGACAGAACCACUUAGGUAGAGAAUGAUCAAAUUUUCGCCUAAUACAUAAAUGUCCUUUAACUGGACCUCAACUUACAUUAUUGCUCUCCAUUUUUAAUGUAUAUAAGUAAACACUUAUACUUGUAUAAAGUUGAACAAAUAUAUACACGCAUCCUACAUGACAAUUUGAGUCUUACAUGGUAUUCUAUUAUGCCCACGUAGGACUCAUAUGUCUACGUGUUCAACUUUAUACAAAUUUAAAUGUCGGCAUAAAUGUGAAAUGAAGCAAAGUUAAAGGACACAUUUAUGUAUUAUGCCUAAAAUCUUUUUUUUAAAAGGCAUAAUACAUAAAUGUGUCCUUUAACUUGACUUCAUUUCACAUUUGUGCCAUUCAACUUUGAAUCUGCACGUACAAGUCUACACUUUAAUUUGUAUAAAAUUGAACAAGUAAACACAUGAGUCUUGUGUGACAUAAUACACGUAGGACACAAAUUGCCAUGUAGGAUGCCAUACAAGAUGUGUGUGUUUAUUAAUUUGUUCAACUUUAUAUAAAUUUAAGUGUCUACUUGUGCACACUCAAAAUUGGAGGGCAUAAAUAUGUAAUUUAAGACCAAAUUAAAAGAUAUAUUUAUGGUUAUGCUUUUCUUAAACUAUGCAAGCAAAAGUGAUGUCCACUAUACUAUUUUGGGAUGUCCAACAAUACUUGUCCACUUUAUGAAAUCAAUGGAUAAUUUUGCACUUAGUUCCUAAUUUACCCUUAUCAUUAAUUAUAAUCAUUUUCCUAUUACAUUUUUCAAGACAUUGUAUUUAUUAUAUUCAAGGGUGAUGUAGUAAAAUUACCCUUCUAUUGAUAGUUUAUUAAGAAGUGUGCAAAGUCAAUAUUGGACAACUAUUGUUGGACAGAGGAAAUAUUAGUUGAGUGAUCAUCUACUCUGUUCGUCCCAAAAUAAGUGUCACUUUAGAUUUUCAAGACAAUUACUCGAGUAUGUUUUUUUUUAACAAUACUCUUACAUUCCAUCUUCUUAAUAAUGUUCAAUUUUCAAGAGACAUUUAUUAAAUAUGGAUAUACUCCUUCUGUCCAACAAUAGUUGUCCACUAUUGACUUGACACAAGAAUUAAAAAGUAAUAAAUGAUAGGAGUAACCCAUAUUAAAUAUGGGAAGUGCUAAAUGGCCAGAAAAUUUUGUCCAGAAAAUCAAAAAAACUAUAAUAUUUUUUUUAUUUUAAAAUAAACUGAUCUUUUGUCCAUUUUUUAGUUAAAAGGUAUUAAAGUUAAAAGGGUAAAAAUGUUUAAAAGGGUAAAAUAACAUAGAUAAAAUAUCAUUUUGGCCAAAUUUUCUGGCCAAAAAGAUUUUUCCAUUAAAUAUAGGUCAUCUAAACAUAGAAAAAUGAAUAAUAUUUAAUAGUAAGGGUAAAAUAAACAUAAAAUGGUGGAGUACAUUAUUCAUUGAUUUUAUAAACUGAACAAAUAUUGUUGGAUAUCUUAAAAUAGUAUAGUGGACAAGUAAAUAUGAACUAAAAGAGUAAUAAACUAUACAUGAUAUUUAUUAAUUUCUUACUGAAUCUAAUUUUUAUUAAGGUGAUAUUCAUUUUCGGACGAAUAAUUGUUACUAUGGUUGUAUUCAUUUUCGGAUGAAUGGAGUAGUAGUUUGAUCAAUAGAGGAAAAUAUAUAAAUUAAAAAGGCACUCUCCAACCCUUGUUCCAACAACAAAUCAAUAAUGAAAAACAAAAAGAACAAUUGUGUAAAACUGUAAAUUAUACUAGUCGAGAGUAAUUAAUUAUAAAUUCAUUAAACCCAAAAAUAAACUUGAAAAGUAAAUAAAAUCUAGCUAAAAGUAACUUCUACCGCCCUCUACGAACAAUGUAAUAUAAGAAACAAAUAUAAAAAAUUAAAAGAUUGUUCAAGUAUUAAAAAAAAUAACGAACUCCAAUUUAUUUGAGACUAAAGAGCGAAUUGUUGUAGUCGAAUUGUGCAUGCAUCUUCUUUCAUUAGGCUUGGGAGUUGUUAUCGAACUCAUUUUUAUUAUUUGCUUCACAAAUUUUGAUUUUGCGUUUCUUGAUGAUACACUUGACGACAAAAAAAACCACAAAAACCAAGACAAAAGCAACACUUAGACCUUUAAGAAAUGGAAUGAGGAGACCAUGCCAUUUAUUAGCACCCCAAUCUUUCUGAUUUUCACCUUCGUAAGUAAUAUUAGUACUAUUAUUUCCAGGAUUCGACAUAUUGAAUUAAUUUGUACUAAGGGAAGAAUAUUGUAAGAAGAGAAAAAUUAUGUUGGGAAGAUGGGUGCGCCGCAUAUGAGAGGGUUGAAGGUAAGUAGACCUUUAUUUAUACGUGUCAUCUGUCUCUUAUUCGAAGAAAAAAUAAAUAAAGGUAAGGGGAGUAGGGAGGAUUUAUUUAGUAAAUUUACUUAUUAAUGAAACAUUCUCCUUUUUUUGGUUAUAAAAGAAAAAAAAAACGUAACUUUCCUUAUUCAUAUGUUUGCCUUAAAAUUUAUUGAAAAUUUUAGGUUGAGAGAGCAAAAGGAAAGAGAGGAAAGGGAAAUAAAAAGGAACCAUAUAUAAAGUAGAAAGAAAAAACAAUAAUGCUACUAAUUUGUAAAUAGUGUAAUUUUUUGGUAAGGUCAAAUAUUAGGGUACCAAAUUCUUGGGCUAAUUAACAUAGCUAUAGUUAAAAAUAUUUAUAAUUUGCACCUAAAAUUAUCUAUUUCAAUGUGUAUUUGCUUUCUAAGAAAUACGCUAGUUGGCAAAUUUGUCAACUAGCAUAUUUCUUAGAAAUUGUAUCUAUCAGUUUCUUCGGUUUUUCUUUUCUCUCUCCAAAUUAGUAUAACCCCAAAUUCAACAAUGUCGUGCUUUCUCUCUCUUGCUUCGACAAAGCUUCGUCAUGAAUGACUCAUGGGAAACUAUGAGAGAAAGCUUUGGAGCUUAAGUAUAUUUGCCCAAAUUAUUCUUUUUGUAUCAAUGUCUUUUAGUGUAUCUGCAACUAGUUAUAAAAUUGUAUCAAUGUACUCAAGUGUAUUAAUUUCUUGUUAAACAUUGUAUCUUGCAUUUGAAUAUAUAUGUUCAUUGUCGUACAUUUGUAUCAAAUCAUAUGUUCAUAUUUGUAUCAAAAUUCCGUUGAUUAUGGAAGAUAGCGAUAUCAGUUGAAUGUGAUUAUGCAAAUUUUCUUUUAAAAAAAAAAAGAACUUGUAACGCAAUUCACAUAUGUUAUUAAGGGUUGUAUUUGUAUUCAGAGCCAAUUUUUGCGAAUAAAUACAUUUGAUAGCAAGUUAUAAUAUAGCUAUAAAUUGUAAUUAACAAAAGAAUAGUUAAGAAGGCCUAUAGUUAGUUAUUUUUGAAAUUUUUCUCAAACAAAAAAUGUAGGCAAAUUGCUAUCAAGCAAUGUUGAAAUGACUCAUUAACACACAGACUUGAGAGAAGAGUCUUUCAUCAGAUUUACUUUUUCUUCUUCUUUUCAAUUUUUUUUACGUUUGUUUUUAGACGUUCAACCAAGUUUUUCCUUUAUUGAUAGCUUAACAUCUCUUUCUAUGAAAUUUUUUUUUGCACUAAAUUGAUAUUUUUGAUACCUAAGUUAGUGGUUUGAUGGGAGGAAAAUUGUUUAAAAAUAAUUAAGCAAAUAAAAUUAUUUUCUUAUUUCUAAUUAUUUAUGAUGAUCACACACUUAAAUAUAACAAUAAAUGUGCACAACAUGCACGUGAGGUUUUUGUUAAAGAAAAAUUAAAUCCAUCACCAAUAAAAAAUUUUAAAAAAAACAGAGAGAACAUCCACAUGUUUGACUCAUAAAAAAAAUCAAUUCAACCCAUAUAUGUAAGAACUUAAAUUUUUAAUUAAGAUGAUCAUACACUAUCAAUUUUAAAAAGCAUAAAUAAAUGAGUUAACUUGAAGUAGAAAAAUAAAACACCACUACCAAUAAUUUCUCUCACUCUUUUGACAAGAAUUUGUCAAUAACUACAUACCAAAGCUAUAUAUCGGCGUCGAGAUACUAGUAAUGUAAUAAAAGAAACAAAAACAUUGUCAAACUAUUUUUUUUCUUCCCCCUUCUACACUUUAGACGUAGCCUCAUCAUCACUAUCCUCUUUUGAUUCAUCAUCACUAUGAUUUGCCUCAUUAAUUUUGGAGGAAUUUCUUCUUCUAAAUCUGCAGAUGAUUUUACAAAGCAGGCAUAACACAACGACCCCUACAACACCCCAAAGGGCUUUGUUUGGAAUUUGCCAACCAUCAUCAUUGUUCAAUUUUGUGUUAUUUCCUGCAGGACUUAUAGCACUUGUUUGAAAAGACAUAUUCGAAAUUCAACUAGAAAAAAAAGACAAAAUUUAUUUUGUGUGAAGAUGGUAGGGGUCUAUUAAUAUUUUAUAACCCAAAGUUUUCCGUAUUCAUAAAAAAACAACAUAUAUACAUGACUAGUUGUGAUUCGAGGAAAAAAAAUAUAGAGAGAAAAGAGUAACUUUCCUUAUUCAUAUGCAUGCCUUGAGAUUUAUACAUGGAAAUUAGGUGCAAGGUGCCUUUAAAAGUGGAAAAGAUGAACUAUAUAAAAUUUUUUUUGGUUAAACGUUACUUUUCUAUUUUUAUUGGAGUGGUCAAUGUUAUGGUGCCGAGGUAAAAGAGGGAAUCGGGUAAUUUCAAUUGAAAUUGAGUAAUUUUGGUUGAUUUGGGGGAAAUCAUUCAAUUGAGGGGUAUAUUUGUUAUGUUUGGGGAAGACGGGUAUAUUUAGAGUCCUGUAGUAUAAUGAAGGACAAACUUAACUAAUAAAUUUAAAUAAUAGAAGGGUAAUUUUUACCUUUUCCCUUACAAUAACUAUGUUAAGCUUGUGGAAUUCAGUCACUCAAUUGGUUGGCUACCUAAACUUACACCUUAUUGGUGAGAUUCGAUUCUCUACAUUGUAAUCUCCUCCCGUUUUCCCUUCCCUACCCCGAAUAUUUUAUUUAAAAAAAAAAAACUAUGUUAAGCUUAAUCUUGAAACACAGACUGGGAACAUGAAAAUGGUGACGACAUUUUUGGGAUUUCACUGAUCUCAAACAUAAUAGAGACAUAGGGGAAAAAUCCAUCGGGAUUAUACUUACCGGUGUAUGUGUGUGAAACUGUGAAUGAUACAAUCAAUAUAAAAUGUCAAACACAAUAGAGACAUACCGGGAAAAAUCCAUUAGAAUAAAAUAACUUGUUGAAGUGCGCGAAUGAUACAAUCAAUAUGAAAUGUCACUUGUAGAAUCUGUUUUAUAUUUCUAUUUAAAACAAUUGUUUUUCUAAAAAAAUAUUUUUCAAAAGUUUUACUAGAACAUGAGAAAAUUGAAAAACAUUUCAAAACACUCUUAAUUAGUCUCAUAGAACUAUAGGACAUUAGAUAGCAUAACAUAUUCAAUUAGAGCACCAAUAACACAGGGUAAAAUAUUAUAUUACUAAUAGAGAAAUACAAAAUAUAUGUAAAAAAGAAAAUCAUAGGUGCAUCGUCGUGCAUUUGUUUGCUUAGUACAUCAUUGUCCUUGCACUGCAAUGUAAAAAUAAGGAAAACUAACAAUAAUUCCACUUUGCUUUCACAUCAUUCAGUUUUUUUAAUCUAGCAAUGCGAAUAUACUCUACUAUAUAUACAUGAAAAAUAAAUUACUCUAUGUGAGUAGUAAUACUAUUCAACAGAUUCGGAGGCACACGAAAGAUAAAUCCAAAUGACGACCAUUGCAAGAGGAAAAACAAGGAGGACGAAGAGAGAAGGUGGCUGAAUCGAACCGAUAAACAAUGGUAGAAAUAAAAGACAAAUCACCACGACUAACAUCAUCAACAUUGAACCAACUCCCCAUUGACAUUGCUCCAUUUCUUGUGCCAUUUUUUUUUCUUUUAAUUCUUUUGUUACUUUCAGAAAAUGUAAGAUAUAUGAAGAAUACUAGUAUAAUACUUAUAUGAGUAAUAGUCCCUUUAUAUAUGUAGUUUUCGAUAGUCAUGUUGUUUCACCAAAGGACGUGACGAUUAGUUUUAAAUUAUUACAUGCGGCUUAAUUUUUCAUUUUCACACUUUGUUUUGAAUAAAGUGAAAAAAGGAAAAUUUUGUAAAACAAAUGUAGGAGAAAUAUUAACCUUUUUCUUAAACAAGAGGGAAAUUAUAAAUCAUAUAUAAUUAAUGCUUUAUUAUGUAUACAUAUGGAUAAUUAAUAAGGGCAAUCAUCUGAUAAGGAUAAUGAUUAAACAAAAUACCAUAUAUUAAUAACUAACCUCUAUUAAAUAAUAUUUUAACUUUUUAAUUUAGUAGUACUAGUGCCAAAGUGUAUAUAAAUGAAAUUCUGUUUAUGUUUUACUCUUAAAUAUAGUUGAUGUGAUUAUUAGCUUACCAAUAGUUAAGUAACAUUUCACAUUUAAAUGAAUUUUUGGCACUUUUUUCAUUGUUCAAAGUUUAAGAUGGAUAUUUGAUUAUUUUUUUCCAUAUUUACCCUUUCCUUUAAUGAAUUUUAAUAUUUUCUAGGGGAUAAAUUGCAGUACUUACAAAAUUAUGUUUAUGAUUUCACAAAAGAUAAUAGUGGAAAUUAUGAUUUGAAUUCUAUCAUUGAAUGUUUUUCUUAAUAAGUAUACAUCACCUCACAAAUUCAGUUAAUAUGGAAUAGAUAUAUUCAAAUAAUUAUUCAAUCUUGGGUGUUUUAGGCGCGAAGUUGUUCCUAUUUAUUUCUAGCACAACAACUUUACAUUUAGCAUAUAUUAGUACUAUAUAAUUGGGAAAGGGGUCUGAAAAAUACUCUAACUUUGGCUGAAAUUAUUGUUAUGAUACCAAACUUUAUGGAAGAUCUUUUACCUCUGCACUAUUUAAUAAUGUAUUUUAAAGGUAUAUAUGUGCCCACAUGGACACGUUACUAUUUAUAAUGAUGCAAUAUUUAUAAUGUCCACGUGGGCACAUAUAUACCUUUAAAAUAUAGUAUUAAAUAGUGCAGGGGUAAAAUGUCUUUUACAAAGUUCGGUAUUGUUACAACAAUUUCUGUCAAAGUUCGGAUAUAUUUCAGAUUUUUUUCCUUAUAUAAUGUGUUUCUUAUUUCCCCCUUAGUCUUCGCUACCCCAGACCUCAAUAAUGGUAGAUGUCACUAUAGGACUCCGAACAGUGUGGUUGCCAUUUUGUUCAAUCCAAGUGAUCGACCCAAAGUUUCUACUCUGAUCACUAUCACCUAUAUAUCGAAUUGUCAAAUUAUAACUUUGCUUAUCAUUUUUCUCCUUGAACACUAGAGUUCGUGGAGACACUGAAACUGUGGAAUUCUUCGGAGUUUCUAUCUUCACUUUAUAAGUUGCUCCACCUUUACCAACAUUUGUAAGGGUCCUCCUGAAUUUCUGCUCCAACCAGGUGAAGUUCCCCUCCAGGCUGAACGGGUACAAGGCGAUGAAUGAUGGGUAGUUGAGAUCAGCUGAUGGAUUUGAGCAGUUGUCGUAAUUGGCUGAUGAUCUUGCAAAUGUUUUGAAUUGCUCUUCUGUGAAAUUCAAAGAGCAUAUAAGAUUUAUGUAAUCUUGUGGAGUAGCCUCAUAUACUAGGCCGGGAUCAAGAGCUCUGUUCGGGUCAACGUGACCUGCUCCCAUGUCUAGUGGCGUCGCAAUCAUGUUAUCAUCCUCUCUAAUAGGCUUUUG
rnacentral:lncRNA from 1 species